GGCGUGCUCUGCUCUCAUUCUAUUUCCUUCCGCCGCUCAGCGUCUCCUCUCUCGUUCAGCUUCACUUGCUUCUUCCCUU